rnacentral:rRNA from 1 species
UUGAUGCGCAGACUACACAUGCAGUCGAGCGAGCUCUUCGGAGCUAGCGGCGGACGGGUUAGUAACGCGUGGGAACGUGCCCUUCACUGCGGAAUAGCCACUGGAAACGGUGAGUAAUACCGCAUACGCCCUUCGGGGGAAAGAUUUAUCGGUGAAGGAUCGGCCCGCGUUAGAUUAGAUAGUUGGUGGGGUAACGGCCUACCAAGUCUACGAUCUAUAGCUGGUUUUAGAGGAUGAUCAGCAACACUGGGACUGAGACACGGCCCAGACUCCUACGGGAGGCAGCAGUGGGGAAUCUUGGACAAUGGGCGCAAGCCUGAUCCAGCCAUGCCGCGUGAGUGAUGAAGGCCUUAGGGUCGUAAAGCUCUUUCGCCAGAGAUGAUAAUGACAGUAUCUGGUAAAGAAACCCCGGCUAACUCCGUGCCAGCAGCCGCGGUAAUACGGAGGGGGUUAGCGUUGUUCGGAAUUACUGGGCGUAAAGCGCACGUAGGCGGAUCAGAAAGUUGGGGGUGAAAUCCCGGGGCUCAACCCCGGAACUGCCUCCAAAACUCCUGGUCUUGAGUUCGAGAGAGGUGAGUGGAAUUCCGAGUGUAGAGGUGAAAUUCGUAGAUAUUCGGAGGAACACCAGUGGCGAAGGCGGCUCACUGGCUCGAUACUGACGCUGAGGUGCGAAAGUGUGGGGAGCACACAGGAUUAGAUACCCUGGUAGU